GACGAACGCUGGCGGCGUGGAUUAGGCAUGCAAGUCGGACGGUAGGGCUUUAUCGUAAGAUAGAGUUUGAGAGUGGCGAACGGGUGAGUAACACGUAGGAAUCUACCCUUAAGACGGGGACAACCCAGGGAAACUUGGGCUAAUACCGGAUGAGAGUGCGAGAGAUUGCAUUUAAAAGGAUGGCGAAAGUUGUCGCUUAGGGAUGAGCCUGCGGUCUAUUAGUUAGUUGGUGAGGUAAGAGCUCACCAAGGCGAUGAUAGAUAGGCGGCCUUAACGGGUGGUCGCCCACACUGGGAUUGAGAUACGGCCCAGACUCCUACGGGGGGCAGCAGUGGGGAAUCUUCCGCAAUGGACGAAAGUCUGACGGAGCGACGCCGCGUGAGUGAUGAAGGCCCUUGGGUCGUAAAGCUCUGUCAUCGGGGACGAACGGUCACAUCAGGAAAUGGGUGUGAAUUGACGGUACCCGAGAAGGAAGCCACGGCUAACUACGUGCCAGCAGCCGCGGUAAUCAUA
rnacentral:rRNA from 1 species